GCAGGGGUCGCCUAGCCUGGUCAAUGGCGCCAGCUUCAGAAGCUGGUAGGUUAGUCCUUACGUGAGUUCAAAUCUCACCCUCUGCA
rnacentral:tRNA from 1 species